rnacentral:misc_RNA from 1 species
CUUAGUCUUUGGGGCAAAGCGUUUCCUUGUGUGCCUAGGAUCCACUGUGCG